rnacentral:rRNA from 1 species
GCGGACAGAUGGGAGCUUGCUCCCUGAUGUUAGCGGCGGACGGGUGAGUAACACGUGGGUAACCUGCCUGUAAGACUGGGAUAACUCCGGGAAACCGGGGCUAAUACCGGAUGCUUGUUUGAACCGCAUGGUUCAAACAUAAAAGGUGGCUUCGGCUACCACUUACAGAUGGACCCGCGGCGCAUUAGCUAGUUGGUGAGGUAAUGGCUCACCAAGGCAACGAUGCGUAGCCGACCUGAGAGGGUGAUCGGCCACACUGGGACUGAGACACGGCCCAGACUCCUACGGGAGGCAGCAGUAGGGAAUCUUCCGCAAUGGACGAAAGUCUGACGGAGCAACGCCGCGUGAGUGAUGAAGGUUUUCGGAUCGUAAAGCUCUGCUGUUAGGGAAGAACAAGUACCGUUCGAAUAGGGCGGUACCUUGACGGUACCUAACCAGAAAGCCACGGCUAACUACGUGCCAGCAGCCGCGGUAAUACGUAGGUGGCAAGCGUUGUCCGGAAUUAUUGGGCGUAAAGGGCUCGCAGGCGGUUUCUUAAGUCUGAUGUGAAAGCCCCCGGCUCAACCGGGGAGGGUCAUUGGAAACUGGGGAACUUGAGUGCAGAAGAGGAGAGUGGAAUUCCACGUGUAGCGGUGAAAUGCGUAGAGAUGUGGAGGAACACCAGUGGCGAAGGCGACUCUCUGGUCUGUAACUGACGCUGAGGAGCGAAAGCGUGGGGAGCGAACAGGAUU